rnacentral:rRNA from 1 species
CCUACGGGUGGCAGCAGUGAGGAAUAUUGGUCAAUGGACGAGAGUCUGAACCAGCCAAGUAGCGUGAAGGAUGACUGCCCUAUGGGUUGUAAACUUCUUUUAUAUGGGAAUAAAAUGUUCCACGUGUGGGAUUUUGUAUGUACCAUAUGAAUAAGGAUCGGCUAACUCCGUGCCAGCAGCCGCGGUAAUACGGAGGAUCCGAGCGUUAUCCGGGUUUAUUGGGUUUAAAGGGAGCGUAGGUGGAUUGUUAAGUGAGUUGUGAAAGUUGGCGGCGCAACCGUAAAAUUGCAGUUGAAACUGGCAGUCUUGAGUACAGUAGAGGUGGGCGGAAUUCGUGGUGUAGCGGUGAAAUGCUUAGAUAUCACGAAGAACUCCGAUUGCGAAGGCAGUUCACUGGACUGCAACUGACACUGAGGCUCGAAAGUGUGGGUAUCAAACAGGAUUAGAUACCCCAGUAGUC